UCAACCUUGAUGGAAAUAUUGGUUUGAGAAAUAUGGGGAAACUGGGAGUUGCUGGUUUCCGAUAAUGGAAAGGGGAAGUGAUGCAGGGGAGGCAAAUGUCUGAAAAUGGUUAUGAUUUGAACAUGAGUUGUGUAAUGUGAGGUGAGGUAAAUAGAAGUUGUAAAUCUUCAGAAUUUCAUAGUGGGAGAUCAUACUUUGCUGUUAUUUUGGACAAUGGAGAGAGUUUUCUUGGUGGAAUUACAGGUCCUUUAAUUGUCAUCGAGGAAGGGCAUGCCUCUUCAGCAAUGUGCAUAUUGAGCAAGUUAAUCAUUUGGAAGGUCAUAUGGCUUUUAUCUUUGCCCAGUUCAUUCUACCUAAACAAAGGAAAAUGCCAAGGGGCCCUCAUGUUUUCAUUGGGAAAAUCAUCCUCCAUUGUCCCAUGAUCUAAAUAAUGUAAAUCAUCUGUCAUCAAAAGUAGCUGCUGCUGAACGCUUUAAUUUGCCCAUCCAUAAGUAGAUAUAAAAAGGGAAAGAUAAAGCUAAUUUCCCAGGACCAUUUUCCCUCAUUCGUCUCUUUCUCAUCAACCAAACACAUGCACGGAAAAAAUACCCUUUUCCCUUCCCCCCCAUGUGCCUU